rnacentral:rRNA from 1 species
GACAGAGGAGCCAAGCGUUGUCCGGACUGACUGGGCGUAAAGCGCACGCAGGCGGCGCUGCGCGUGGGGUGUGAAAGCUCUUGGCUUAACUGAGAGAGGCCAUCCCAUACGGCAGUGCUCGAGCGGUGCAGAGGUCCGCGGAAUUGCCGGUGUAGUGGUGAAAUGCGUAGAGAUCGGCAGGAACACCCAGGGGGGAAACCAGCGGACUGGGCAUCAGCUGACGCUCAGGUGCGACAGCGUGGGGGAGCGAACCGG